UUAAAUAUGUCCAAAUAUUUUGAACUUUUAUAUAUUUUUCACAAAUAAGAAGUCCAAUCAUUUCUUUAAAAAUGACCUCGUGAGGCGGAGCUGUAGCCGGGAUAUUGUAGUUCGUGCUAGAAUCAAGGUUGAUUACUCAAUUUCAAUCCAGAUAUUGUUUGUGUAGAAUUGUCGCCUUGCGGUUAGGAAGGUGCCAUAGUGGUGCCGUGCGUGGAAGGAAGGCGGAGAUCUCGAGAGAGGUCGACUUCCUUUUUCUAUUGGAUCGAAGGCUGGUUGAUUCUGGUGCCUGGAAGUGGCCGUCGACUUGAGCUUUUGCCCGACAACUUCGUUGGGAGUUAGGACUAGAUUUUAUUCUUGUCAAAACAAGUAUUUAUCCAAUCUCAAUUUCUAUAAUCCA